rnacentral:sRNA from 1 species
GAGGAGGACCUCAUGAAGAAGUUGCUGACCAUUGCGAUCCUGGCCGCUGCCGCCGUUGCAGUACCGCUGGUGGUGGCGCAGAACGCCGGCCAGCCGGCCCCGCAGCAGGGUAGCCAGGCCGACAAGGCGCAGGCCGAAGCCGAUGCCAAGGCCAAGCGCCGUGCCCAGGCCAAUGCCGAAAUGAAGGCGCAGGGCCAGCCGGCCCCGCAGCAGGAAGAGGAAGAAGAGGCGCGGAAGAAGAAGUAACGCUUCCGCCCUCUGAAGCCCUUGCCGCAAGGGAUUCGCCCCCCGACGCCCCGCUCAGCGGGGCGUUUUAUUUGG